rnacentral:rRNA from 1 species
UACGUAGGGGCUAGCGUUAUCCGGAUUUACUGGGCGUAAAGGGAGCGUAGGCGGACUUUUAAGUGAGAUGUGAAAUACCCGGGCUCAACUUGGGUGCUGCAUUUCAAACUGGAAGUCUAGAGUGCAGGAGAGGAGAAUGGAAUUCCUAGUGUAGCGGUGAAAUGCGUAGAGAUUAGGAAGAACACCAGUGGCGAAGGCGAUUCUCUGGACUGUAACUGACACUGAGGCUCGAAAGCGUGGGGAGCAAACAGGAUUAGAUACCCUGUA